UACGGAGGGUGCAAGCGUUGUCCGGAUUUAUUGGGUUUAAAGGGUGCGUAGGCGGCCUUUUAAGUCAGUGGUGAAAGCCCGCGGCUCAACCGCGGAACUGCCAUUGAUACUGGAAGGCUUGAGUACAGAUGAGGCAGGCGGAAUGGGUGGUGUAGCGGUGAAAUGCAUAGAUACCAUCCAGAACACCGAUUGCGAAGGCAGCCUGCUAAACUGUAACUGACGCUGAGGCACGAAAGCGUGGGGAUCGAACAGG
rnacentral:rRNA from 1 species